UCCGUAACGAGCGCAACCCUUGUCCUUAGUUACCAGCACGUUAUGGUGGGCACUCUAAGGAGGACUGCCGGUGACAAACCGGAGGAAGGUGGGGAUGACGUCAAGUCAUCAUGGCCCUUACGGCCUGGGCUACACACGUGCUACAAUGGUCGGUACAAAGGGUUGCCAAGCCGCGAGGUGGAGCUAAUCCCAUAAAACCGAUCGUAGUCCGGAUCGCAGUCUGCAACUCGACUGCGUGAAGUCGGAAUCGCUAGUAAUCGUGAAUCAGAAUGUCACGGUGAAUACGUUCCCGGGCCUU
rnacentral:rRNA from 1 species